CCUACGGGAGGCUGCAGUGGGGAAUAUUGCAUAAUGGGGGAAACCCUGAUGCAGCGACGCCGCGUGAGUGAAGAAGUAAUUCGUUACGUAAAGCUCUAUCAGCAGGGAAGCAACACUGACCUUACGGUCAGCAGACGGUACCUGAGUAAGAAGCCCCGGCUAACUACGUGCCAGCAGCCGCGGUAAUACGGAGGGGGCAAGCGUUAUCCGGAUUUACUGGGUGUAAAGGGAGCGUAGACGGUGCGCCAAGUCUGGAGGGAAAUGCCGCAGCUUAACUGCGGAACUGCUGUGGAAACUGGCGAACUAGAGUGGGGGAGGGGUAAGCGGAAGUCGCAGUGUAGCGGUGAAAUGCGUAGAUAUUAGGAGGAACACCGGUGGCGAAGGCGGCUUACCGGACCGUAACUGACGCUGAGGCUCGAAAGCGUGGGGAGCAAACAGGAUUAGAUACCCGAGUAGUC
rnacentral:rRNA from 1 species